AUGGAUGAACUCCCUCUUCACCGUUGGAGGCAAAUCACGAUAUCGCUGUUCUGAACACUUUGCCUCAAUGUCUGUAGCCCGGCGACCAACCUCCGCGGUGGAUACGACCCUCAGAAGCUGAAAGGAUGGUGGCCGACGAGGUCCACAAACCCCGGUUCCCGAGACCCGGAAUCUGGCUCCCCGCGGUCCUUCUAUGACGCAAUAUUUUCGCGCCGGGUUCGAGGCUCUUUACCGGGAGCCGCCAUUUUCCCACCUACUGCCGAACGACGGGGGAGGUCUUCCUUUUCCUGCCUUCCGCGGGAAGGUCAAAAACGAUUCACAUGUUGAAGCCCUAAGAUCCAGUGUGGCUCUAAUCAGAGAUGGGGCUCCUAAGGUUUCCUAAAGCCAGCUUCGGCACCGGACUACGGCGGCCGAUGAGGGACUGAAACUUUUCUACGCAGCACCGACAAUUGGACUUCCGGCUUCUCCUUUGGGGGUAAUGUGUCCGCUCCCUGUGCGCCUCGCCUCCCUGGGGGCAGCCAUCUUUGAGUAUUUAUCAUGCAGAACAGAGAUGGCUGUUUCUGCGCCACUAACCCGGAUGGCUCGAGACCAGUAAAAGUCCCCUGAACUGUUCCCUCACCUGAUAAUUCAUCCCCUGUGCGGCGAGGCUGGAAGGGUUGCGAACAACACUGCACAAGCUACAUAGAGUUUCAGAGGCUCGAGCUUAUACAAGGCAAACGUGGCGCCGGCUCCGUCCACUUCAGCGGUCAAGAAAGAAACGGCCCAAUGAGCGCGGCCAUGUAAAAGGAAUUUCAGGUGUCCGUACAGCGGAGAACACGCCCCCUCUCCCCCUAAAGUGAACAGGAUGGCCCGCCAAGCUUGGGUAAUAGAAGGGCCCAUGACAAGUCCCUGUAUCUCAGCUUGUGAGGUUAGACUUAGCAGGUGAGUGCGGGUCAAAGUGUGAAUUCAUUGUCGAGGUUGUCUUUUGUUUCACGCCAGUUCGGAAAACACCAAGUGUUGAAAUUUGAAAUUGUGGUCUAUGAAGUAAGUGGAUACAAAAGCUACUGUGAUGCUGUCAGAGCAUCAGCAAUGCAGUGCUAAUAUUUUUUGAAUAAAUCGUUGUUGAACACAAAUUCUUGUGCUAAGUAAACCAAAAUGUUGGACUUUGGAGCAAAGAGAGGUUUAUUGCAGGGCCAAGGAUGGAGAAUGUGUGGCUCGUGCUCGAAAAACCCGAGCUCCCUGACGGUUUUGGGGGAAGAGUUUUUAAAGGCAAAAUUUGGGGUGAGGGCUGGAGGAUGUGUGACUUUCUUCUGAUUGGUGGUGAGGUAACAGGGCGGUGUCCAGGAAUCUUUUGCUCAGCCUGAAGUUACCAUCCUCUGCUUGGUUGGACGCCUUAGUUGCUACAGAACUCAAAGGUAUAUUGUUAUGUGUAUCCCUUGAGGAGGAACCAGGACCCUGCUUUACGCUGCACUAUUGUUUCUUGACUGCUUUUCCUUUGUUACUGCCUUCCCUUACUUCCCUAAUUAGAAGCUAUUUGAAUCUGCCCGUUGGAACUCAUGGAAGGUCUAGGAGGCUGAAGACUUUUUCCUACGAACAAGAAAGGGGGGACACGGAAAUGCUUUUAUACCCGGGAGGGCCCACAGGGUUCUGCUAGGUUUCAAAAUUACACACAACCAUUCUUUCUGGGACUAUGUCAUCAAGGCCUUAACACUUCUGCUUGCAUCUGAGAUUAUUGGGAGAUGAUUCUGGAGCAUCUAUGUUCUGCUUUGUCACUUUUUUAUGUCCAACCCCUUCUCUCUGUUCACCCCUUACCCUAUCUCUGCAUCUUAGUCCAAGCCCCUUCCAGCUAUAGCAGCAGUGAGCUAUUGUUGCAGGAGAAGGGGGGAGCAAGAGAAUGGUCACAUCCCAGGUCUCAAGAGAGUCCUUGGCUUCUCGCAGGAAAGAAUUCAAGAGCGAGCAAUAAUAAAGUGAAAGCUAGCUUAUUCAGAGAAGUACACAUUCCAUAGGCAGAAGGUGAGAGCGGCCCCGAGUAAUUUCAUAGGCUAACAAGUGGAAGGAUUAUUCCAACUGUUUGGGGGAAAGGGCAGGAAUUUUGAGGAAUUGGGCCACCACCCACUUUUUGGUCCUUCUUGGUCGGGCUUGGAACUGUCAUGGCACUGGUGGGUGUGUCAUUUAGCAUGUUAAUGUAUUACAGUGAGUGUAUAAUGAGGCUCAAGGUCUAUGGGAAGUCAAAUCUUGGGCCUAGCAAGUUCUAACCAGUUUAUAUCAUAUCCUCAAUGGCUGUGUCAUUCUUUCAAUGGCUGUGCCCUGCUCCCUUCCUUCCUGUUUCACUAAGGCAGAGACAAAUCAAGUAUUCCUUACAAACUUUUAAGACAUAUAAGUCGGUCAACGGUAACUUUACAGAUAUGUCCCCAAAAGCUAUUAAAACUAUCCUAUCAGGUAAGAAUUGCCAUAAUUUUUUUUUUUUUUUUUUUUUGGUACGCGGGCCUCUCACUGUUGUGGCCUCUCCCGUAGCGGAGCACAGGCUCCGGACGCGCAGGCUCAGCGGCCAUGGCUCACGGGCCCAGCCGCUCCGCGGCAUGUGGGAUCUUCCCGGACCGGGGCACGAACCCGUUUCCCCUACAUCGGCAGGCGGACUCUCAACCACUGCGCCACCAGGGAAGCCCCCAUAAUUUUUUUUUUUUAAGUUGAAAGAAUUAAAAUCUCAGAACCGGCCCUCCGCAAAUUGGCCUGCUUCCAAUUAAAAGUGAAGUUUAGUGUCUUUUCAUGUUAAUUGGCUAUUCAGAAUCACCUCUGCUAUGGAUAUGCCUAUUGAUUUUUACUCUGUUGUCAUUUUCUUAUUGAUUUGUUGAGUUAAAGAAAGACACACAACAUAAGAGUUGUGAUUUCUAAGUUUUAUUCAGGUUCUUGCUGAGGAUCAUAGUCCGGGAGGCAGCCACUCAAUUAGUAUAAGCAUAUAGGUUAGGGGGUCCUUGGAGACAGAGAACCAGGAAUGGCUUUCUUGACAUGAGAGGACCCAUUUUGGCCUAAGCCAUUUUGUCAUCUAAGCCUAGCCAUAAUUCUUGCCCUUGAACAGGUCUCAGUAAUCAAUGAUCUUAAGGGAACAAAGGAAUGCAGGAACAGAGAAAAGGCAGUCAAACAAUAGUGCAGUGAUAAAACAGAGUCCUAUUUCCUCCUCAAGGGAUAUACAUAAUAAUGUAUCUUUCAGUUGCCCAGGAACUAAGGCCCUCACUUAGGUAGAGGAGAGAAUGAUCUUGACUCUCCUGACUUCAGUCAACUAAAGUUUGGACACUGUCAACUUUUGCCCCAGUUUUAUGCUGAAUUCUCCUCUGCUCAAACCCCUUCUUGAAUAUGCAUGUACCCUUAGCUUAAAACUUCCCCAGUUUUGCUGUUCCUGGGAGACACUGCUUUGGAAAAGAUCCCUGGUGUUCUUCUUACUUACUGCAAGUAAUAAAUCCUUCCUUCUCCCCAUCUUUGGCUUGGUUGUGCCUGUUGGCUCGACAGUCACCAAGAGGUGAACCCAGUUUUGUGGUGACAUUAGCUCUGAGGAAAUCGCUCUGAAGAGGUAGGGGAGAAGCCCUUCUAUAUAUGAUUUUUGGCUAGGAACUACAUGCAGUCAGGCAUACAUCUUGGUAAAAGAUUUACUGCUAAUCAUACAGGAAAAAAAUGUCUCAAGUUAAUCUUUUUAGGGCUUAUCUCUGUAUGGGAAUAUGUAAGAAUCCAGUGUCAUUACAAUUCUUCCUGAGAUAUUCAUCUAACUAUCUAUGGGGCUUGCCUAUUCAUGUGCAUUCUAAGCCCAGAGUGCCUCAUUCUGUUUUCUAUUUAAAUUCCUCUCAGAGUGCACUGUUGAUCAGCAACUGCAGUGGAUUACAACUUAACCCUUGUCAAACUGGAUGUUGAAACUCUUUGUCUUAGUGAUCCUAAUUUUUCUGCAUCCCCAGAUUCAUAAGCGCUCUUUUUACAGUCUAAGUUUUCAUCUUUUUCAGUUAAGUGUUGCGAUAUAUGCUUCCAGUCUUCAGCUUGUUCUUACUGUUGUUGAUGUCUGUGUUUUAUUUUAAUGUAAAAUGUUAUGCUUGAAAAGGAAACCAAAUCUUGGAAAGUUAAAGUCAAGCUCAUUGUAACUUGAGUUUAAUCCCCAUUUCAGAAAAGAAUUUGAGACUUUGCAGUUACAGUCUAGGAAGGGAUUAAUAAAAACAUAUCUAAAGUUUGGCUUAUGCGCUUUCAAAAGGAAGUACACCUUGUGCGGUAUGGGGGAAAUAGGAGACCAUUUUAUU